rnacentral:rRNA from 1 species
CCUACGGGAGGCAGCAGUGGGGAAUUUUGGACAAUGGGCGCAAGCCUGAUCCAGCUAUGCCGCGUGUGGGAUGACGGCCCUCGGGUUGUAAACCACUUUUGUAGAGGACGAAAAGGAGCCAUCGAAUAAAUAACUCUGCUGACGGUACCCUAAGAACAACCACCGGCUACAUACGUGCCAGCAGCCGCGGAAAGACGUAGGGUGCGAGCGUUAAUCGGAAUUAUUGGGCGUAAAGGGUGUGCAGGCGGGUGAGUAAGCCAGAUGUGAAAUACCCGGGCUUAACCUGGGAACUGCAUAUGAGACUGCUUGGCUGGAGUGCGUGAGAGGGAGGUGGAAUUCCUGGUGUAGCAGUGAAAUGCGUAGAUAUGAGGAAGAACACCGAUGGCGAAGGCAGCCUCCUGGAACGCAACUGACGCUCAUGCACGAAAGCGUGGGGAGCAAACAGGAUUAGAUACCCUAGUAGUC